rnacentral:rRNA from 1 species
UCUGGUUGAUCCUGCCAGUAGUUAUAUGCUUGUCUCAAAGAUUAAGCCAUACAUGUCUAAGUACUAACGAAUAAAAAGUGAAACCGCAAAAGGCUCAUUAUAUCAGUUAUGGUUCCUUAGAUCGUUAACAGUUAAUUGGAUAACUGUGGUAAUUCUAGAGCUAAUACAUGCAAUUAAAACAUGAACCUUAUGGGACAUGUGCUUUUAUUAGGCUAAAACCAAGCGAUCACAAGCGUUCGUUAUAUUGGUUGAACCCUAGAUAACAUGCAGAUCGAUGACAGAUCUUUCAAAUGUCUGCCCUAUCAACUUUUGAUGGUAGUAACUAGGACUACCAUGGUUGCAACGGGAAACGGGCAAUCAGGGUUCGAUUCCGGAGAGGGAGCCUAAGAAACUUCUACCACAUCUAAGGAAGACAGCAGGCGCGUAAGUUACCCACUCCCAGCUCGGGGAGGUAGUGACGAAAAAUAACAAUACAGGACUCAUAUCCGAGGCCCUGUAAUUGGAAUGAGUACACUUUAAAUCCUUUAACAAGGACCAAUUGGAGGGCAAGUCUGGUGCCAGCAGUCGCGGUAAUUCCAGCUCCAAUAGCGUAUAUUAAAGUUGUUGCGGUUAAAACGUUCGUAGUUGAACUUGUGUUUCAUACGGGUAGUACAACUUACAAUUGUGGUUAGUACUAUACCUUUAUGUAUGUAAGCGUAUUACCGGCGGAGUUCUUAUAUGUGAUUAAAUACUUGUAUUUUUUCAUAUGUUCCUCCUAUUUAAAAAUCUGCAUUAGUGCUCUUAAACGAGUGUUAUUGUGGGCCGGUACUAUUACUUUGAACAAAUAAGAGUGCUUAAAGCAGUCUUCAAAUGCCUGAAUAUCCUGUGUAUUCUGAUAAUGAAAUAAGACCUCUGUUCUGCUUUCAUUGGUUUUUAGAUCAAGAGGUAAUGAUUAAUAGAAGCAUUUGGGGGCAUUAGUAUUACGACGCGAGAGGUGAAAUUCUUGGACCGUCUUAAGACUAACUUAAGCGAAAGCAUUUGCCAAAGAUGUUUUCAUUAAUCAAUAACGAAAGUUGGAGGUUCGAAAGCGAUCAGAUACCGCCCUAGUUCUAACCAUAAACGAUGCCAGCUAGCAAUUGGGUGUAGCUACUUUUAUGGCUCUCUCAGUCGCUUCCCGGGAAACCAAAGCUUUUGGGCUCCGGGGGAAGUAUGGUUGCAAAGCUGAAACUUAAAGGAAUUGACGGAAGGGCACCACCGGCAUAAUUUGAAUCAACACAGGAAAACUUACAGUUUGAUAGCUCUUUCUCGAAUCUAUGGGUGGUGAUGCAUGGCCGUUCUUAGUUCCUGGAGUGAUUUGUCUGGCUAAUUCCGAUAAGAACGAUACUCAAAUAUAUUAAAUAGAUAUCUUCAGGAUUAUGGUGCCGAAGCUUAUAUUGCCUUAUUGUGUUUGAAUGUGUUUAUGUAAGAGGAGCCGUACCUGUUGGUUUGUCUCCUUAUAAGGUCACUAGCUUCUUAAAUGGACAAAUUGCGUCUAGCAAUAAUGAGAUUGAGCAAUAACAGGUCUGAGCUGCACGCGCGCUACAAUAAAAAUCAACGUGUAUUUCCUAGACCGAGAAGUCCGGGUAAACCGCUGAACCGUUUUCAUGCUUGGGAUUGUGAACUGAAACUGUUCACAUGAACUUCGAAUUCCCAGUAAGUGGGAGUCAUUAACUCGCAUUGAUUACGUCCCUGCCCUUUGUACACACCGGCCGUCGCUACUACCGAUUGAAUUAUUUAGUGAGGUCUCCGGACGUGAUCACUGUGACGCCUUGCGUGUUACGGUUGUUUCGUAAAAAUUGACCGAACUUGAUUAUUUAGAUGAAGUAAAAGUCGUUACAAGGUUUCCGUAGGUGAACCUGCGGAAG